rnacentral:rRNA from 1 species
GACGAACGCUGGCGGCGUGCUUAACACAUGCAAGUCGAGCGGUAAGGCCCUUUCGGGGGUACACGAGCGGCGAACGGGUGAGUAACACGUGGGUGACCUGCCCUUAGCUCUGGGAUAAGCCUGGGAAACUGGGUCUAAUACCGGAUAUGACUCCAUGACGCAUGUUGUGGGGUGGAAAGCCUUGUGCGGCUAGGGAUGGGCCCGCGGCCUAUCAGCUUGUUGGUGGGGUGAUGGCCACCAAGGCGACGACGGGUAGCCGGCCUGAGAGGGCGACCGGCCGACACUGGGACUGAGACACGGCCCAGACUCCUACGGGAGGCAGCAGUGGGGAAUCUUGCGCAAUGGGCGAAAGCCUGACGCAGCGACGCCGCGUGGGGAUGAC